rnacentral:rRNA from 1 species
GACGAACGCUGGCGGCGUGCUUAACACAUGCAAGUCGAACGGAAAGGCCCUGCUUUUGUGGGGUGCUCGAGUGGCGAACGGGUGAGUAACACGUGAGUAACCUGCCCUUGACUUUGGGAUAACUUCAGGAAACUGGGGCUAAUAUCGGAUAGGAGCUCCUGUUGCAUGGUGGGGGUUGGAAAGUUUCGGCGGUUGUGGAUGGAUUCGCGGCUUAUCAGCUUGUUGGUGGGGUAGUGGCUUACCAAGGCUUUGACGGGUAGCCGGCCUGAGAGGGUGACCGGCCACAUUGGGACUGAGAUACGGCCCAGACUCCUACGGGAGGCAGCAGUGGGGAAUAUUGCACAAUGGUCGGAAGCGUGAUGCAGCAACGCCGCGUGCGGGAUGACGGCCUUCGGGUUGUGAACCGCUUUCGCCUGUGACGAAGCUUGAGUGACGGUAAUGGGUAAAGAAGCACCGGCUAACUACGUG